GUGCCCCGCGCUUGUAGCGCUGCGUCGGCCUAGGGCCAAUUCUCGCCAGGGGACCGAAUCCUGUGUUGUAGGCAGGCUCAGGGGUGUCGGGUGUGGUGCGCCCCCCGACAAGCCAGCGCGCCCCGGAAGGGAGCAGCGGCAUGCGCUGAUCAAGGAUGUGAGCGACUGCCCCAUGGGCCGAGCCGAUGUCCUGCUG
rnacentral:SRP_RNA from 1 species